GCGAAGAACCUUACCAGGUCUUGACAUCCUCUGACAACCCUAGAGAUAGGGCUUUCCCCUUCGGGGGACAGAGUGACAGGUGGUGCAUGGUUGUCGUCAGCUCGUGUCGUGAGAUGUUGGGUUAAGUCCCGCAACGAGCGCAACCCUUGAUCUUAGUUGCCAGCAUUCAGUUGGGCACUCUAAGAUGACUGCCGGUGACAAACCGGAGGAAGGUGGGGAUGACGUCAAAUCAUCAUGCCCCUUAUGACCUGGGCUACACACGUGCUACAAUGGACGGUACAAAGGGCUGCAAGACCGCGAGGUUUAGCCAAUCCCAUAAAACCGUUCUCRGUUCGGAUUGUAGGCUGCAACUCGCCUACAUGAAGCUG
rnacentral:rRNA from 2 species